rnacentral:rRNA from 1 species
UACGUAGGGGGCAAGCGUUGUCCGGAAUCAUUGGGCGUAAAGCGCGCGCAGGCGGCCAGAUAAGUCCGGUGUGAAAGUCACAGGCUCAACCUGUGAAUGCCGCUGGAAACUGUCUGGCUUGAGUCCGGAAGGGGCGAGUGGAAUUCCUGGUGUAGCGGUGAAAUGCGCAGAUAUCAGGAGGAACACCCGUAGCGAAGGCGGCACUCUGGGCCGGUACUGACGCUGAGGAGCGAAAGCGUGGGGAGCAAACAGG